rnacentral:rRNA from 1 species
GUGGGGAAUAUUGGACAAUGGGCGGAAGCCUGAUCCAGCCAUGCCGCGUGUGUGAAGAAGGUCUUCGGAUUGUAAAGCACUUUAAGUUGGGAGGAAGGGCAGUAAGCUAAUACCUUGCUGUUUUGACGUUACCGACAGAAUAAGCACCGGCUAACUUCGUGCCAGCAGCCGCGGUAAUACGAAGGGUGCAAGCGUUAAUCGGAAUUACUGGGCGUAAAGCGCGCGUAGGUGGUUCAGUAAGUUGGAGGUGAAAUCCCCGGGCUCAACCUGGGAACUGCCUCCAAAACUACUGAGCUAGAGUACGGUAGAGGGUAGUGGAAUUUCCUGUGUAGCGGUGAAAUGCGUAGAUAUAGGAAGGAACACCAGUGGCGAAGGCGACUACCUGGACUGAUACUGACACUGAGGUGCGAAAGCGUGGGGAGCAAACAGGAUUAGAUACCCUUGUAGUCC